rnacentral:lncRNA from 1 species
GUGUUCAUUCCAUGGCAGAUAAUGCACAUGAUGUACACCUCUUUUGGGGAGUAGCCCAACCCUAAAGCCUCUCUUCCAAGGGACACACAAACCCAAUUUUCUGUCCUCACACAUAAAUGGAUCCAUUAUAGAUAUUGGUAUGAAAGACUUGACCUUGUUGCAAUGGCUCUCUAGUGAUGUAGGGUUUCAGCCAAACAGGGUUGUGAUAUGAAUCCAUGAGGACUGAAUUUGAAAUUUGAAAUUGUGGGAGUCUAGUUUCCAAUGGGAAGGAAUUGGCUUGAGAUCUAGGCUUGAGAAGAAGGUCAGUUAGUUAGUGUAGGUUUAGG